rnacentral:lncRNA from 1 species
CUAAUCUCUGCCGGCGGGCAGGGCCCCCGCGUCUCAGCAUGGGCACCCAGGGGGUCCGGGCCCCAGAGAGGGUGGCGGGUCCCGAGAGCCGGAAGGAGAGUGGCUGGGGGCGCGGCUCCAGCAGAGCCGGGCCACCUCGCAGCCUGCACCUCCCCCGCAUCCGAGAUGGUGCGGCGAUAGGGCGGCCCCGAUCUGGGCUCAGAUAAAGUUUAAAAUAUUCCAUUCUGCAAGUCCCAUCCUGAUAAGAUCGCUCUGUCGGGACGGGCUGAAAUUGUGAUCUUAUCUGGCGUGCUUGACUCUCCCAGGCUUUGUAUCUAGAGGCAGAAGGAGAAAGACCUGGGAGUAAGGGGGACUUGGGACUGCGGGGACCGGCCGGCGCCCACCGCAGCGCUUUGGCUGCAGAGCGACAAGGCAGCGGAAUAGGUAGUGGAGGCUGCUCCAACCUAGGCAUUUGGCACUGGCUGACCAAACCCCCUUUAUCCGCUCCGGCUCUGGAGUUUUCGAUCCGACCUCUGCCUGCUGGGGGACAUGUGGAGGUCCGACCCACCAACUGCCCCUAACAACGCUACACGAAUGGAUGCCCAUGGGCACCGCUCUCUCCACCUCCAUCCGAGGGGUUAUCCUGAACCAUCCAGGGACCUCAGGCACUCAAACGUUGUUCCCGAGUGAAGUUUCUCGCAGGUCCUCCCGUGGGCACUUUCCCGAGCAAGGCAGACCCUAUAAUCCUACAUCAUCCGUGCCCCCCUACAGGCGCGGGGCUUCCUCCCCGGAGCUUCCCUUUGGCGAGAGCGACAGGUCAUCUGGGCUGCCCAGGAGGUGACGGGAGGGGGGCUGGGCAUCCGGCUUUCCAGCUCCAGACGCCUGAGCUACCUCCUCUGUCCACAUCACACUGCCACCAGGACCCAGUGUGCAUUUUAGCUUGUGAGAGUACCCCCUACUGAAGUCGGGGGGGACGGGAUGGGGAGGAAUCUGGGUUCUGGUAACCCGACUCCCCAAAUGCGUGCUGGACCUGUUUUCCGAAAGUCUCCUUCUAUCAUGUCAGCUGAAGUAUUAAAGCCAC